UACGAAGGGGGCUAGCGUUGUUCGGAAUCACUGGGCGUAAAGCGCACGUAGGCGGAUCUUUAAGUCAGAGGUGAAAUCCCAACGGCUCAACCUUGGAACUGCCUUUGAGUACUGGGGAUCUUGAGUCCGGGAGAGGUGAGUGGAACUGCGAGUGUAGAGGUGAAAUUCGUAGAUAUUCGCAAGAACACCAGUGGCGAAGGCGGCUCACUGGCCCGGUACUGACGCUGAGGUGCGAAAGCGUGGGGAGCAACAGG
rnacentral:rRNA from 1 species